rnacentral:rRNA from 1 species
UACGGGGGGAGCAAGCGUUGUUCGGAUUUACUGGGCGUAAAGGGCGCGUAGGCGGUCAGCACAAGUCAGUUGUGAAAUCUCCGGGCUUAACUCGGAAAGGUCAACUGAUACUGUGCGACUAGAGUGCAGAAGGGGCAACUGGAAUUCUCGGUGUAGCGGUGAAAUGCGUAGAUAUCGGGAGGAAUACCGAUGGCGAAGGCAGGUCUCUGGGCUAUAACUGACGCUCAUGCACGAAAGCGUGGGGAGCAAACAGG